CCUGGCUACGUUCUUCCUAGAAUGCGUUCGGACAAUCAACCACGUGCGGGCGCGCUACGUACAUGCUGAUCAAACUUGCAGUCUGUUGGGCGGACAAAACCGCAGAAAACCAGCCUUUCGACAAGAAAGGAGAACGUUUCGAAAUAGAAUACGAGGGAAUCACUUGAACCCGACGGAGCCAAGGACCCAGGGCGCGAUGCAAGGCAGGCACCUUUGCACAACCCAUGUCCCUGCGCGCGGUGCAUUCACAGUUCACGGAGUCCUCGACCUAAAUGUGAUGUGACGGGAGAACCUUUACUGAAACUAACGGGAAUAUAGUAUCGUGGAAGGCUGACCGAGCUGUGAACCGAGGCCCUAACACGGAGCAAAUUAACAUCAACGAAAAUAGCACUGCGUUUUAAGAUCGCUAUAUGCGCGAUGCAGCAAAUGCAGCCAGCGGUGUCAGGUCUCCUUAGCGCGGGGAUGCAUAGCAAAUAGCCUCCCCGCUUCAAGUUACAGGGCGCGUGCGGGCAACUCAGUGAACGUCCUCUGGCCUCGGUCUUCGAACACCAGACACAGAGAUGGAACUGGAAGAAGUGGUUCUGGAAAUAAUAUUUGCUCAGCCUGCGUCCUUUUGGCAAGCAAACAGUACAAUAGCAGUCUACGACAUUAUCUCUCAUUAUGGCAUCGGCUGAACUAGUAGCCAGGAUGAUAACGCUGUCUCUGCCACUUAUCGGUUUCUGUCCAAGCCCCUGCCAUCCUUGGCACAUAGCCUGCCAAUGCAACGGCUGUCCAGUUUCAUAGGACAAGUCAGGAAAUAUAUAUAUGAUAGCACACUAUAGCCUGCAUGUGUUACCUGUUCACAAGGUCGCCUAUACACCUGUUUAGAUGGAAUGCACAAUAAAAACCCGUUUGGGACCAAUACUAUCCAACAUCACCAUAUUCAACCCUGUCACAGAUAUUCAGUCACAAUUCAGAGGUCUGGAUACAGCUACAGGGAGCUCGCAGGAGUAGUGAGCAGAGACUGGGUCUGAGACAGAUUACUAUCAUGCUGUACGAAUGGCAGAGGCAGAAAUGUAUUUUCUGGUUCAAUGGAAUAUCUAGGCUGAAAUGGUACCCUAACCCACUACAUAAUGCACUACUUUGAGCAGGGCCAUGUACAAUAUUAAGGCUGAUUCUAAAAUGGUUCUGGUGAAAAGUAGCUCAUUACAUCUGGAAUAGGGUUGCAUUUGGGACAUAACCCUAGUGUGCUUGACCUCUCCUUGACCUGCAUCAGGCAACAGCAGCUAAGAAGCAGCAGCUUAUACACCACGUGUCAGAUGUGGGUUCAGUUACUAUUUGAAAUCUUUCAAAUACUUUUGCUAUAGGCUGCCUAAAGUGCCGGUGGGAUAUACAGACUUGGGACUUUUCUAUUGGUCCAUUAAGCCAGACAAACUCAAUAAAGCACAGAUAAAUUACUUGAAAUAAUUUCAAAUAGUAUUUGAACCCAGGUUGAAUGUUAGAGGCCUGCAGCUGAACAAAGUUGGUUCGACAUUCAUGAUCAUCAGAAGGAGUUACAUACAGCUGACUGUCAUUAAGAAAAUGCCUUGAAGUGCUUUUAAACCAAUUAUGUAUGCCAUCAGCUAAUUAAUUCCACUGCUGGCAAUCCAGGCUGGGGCAUAGGAGGAGGAGGGGACAGAGGAGGUGGCGGAGGGGGGGUGAACUGUUGACUCUCUGUUGUUCAUCCUUUCAAUAACUUGCCACUAGGCCUAUGUGUGUGCGUCUGUGUGAGCGUGUGCGUGUGUGAGCACUAUGAGUGCUCCACUGAACCCUGCCACCUAAAGUUUGCAAACUGCAGGAUGGCUUCAUCCCAACAUGUAGCUUCAGUCCAUUAGCUAGAGUCAGUUCAGUCAGACUCUAACACAACAGGGCUGUUACAACUCAUCAAUGGAAAGGAUGAACGCUUUCGCAAUCAAGUUGGAUAGAUUACACAGGAUUCACCUUUGUUACACAUAAUUUGAAUACGCAAAACUAUAUUUUACUUGAAUUAAAAUUGGCUUGACUAAGUGGUAGUAAUCAAAGGGAGGAAUUUGAAGAUAAAAGACGAAACGAGAGGGAGGAAUAUGGAGAGUGUGAGGUGAGGAGCAUCGCUUAAAAGCAGGGAUGGGUAACUGGCGGCCCCCUUUUGAAGGUCCUUGGAUCCAUUUCACCUCCCACCCCAAAAAAAAAAAAAACUGUGGCCCGUCAUGAUGAGUUCAGAUUUUUUUGUGGCCCCCACCCUAAUCAAAGUCGCCCAUCCCUGCUUUAAAACAAGUCAAAAGCAAAAGGGAGGGUGGGAGAGAAGUCAAUCAUCAUCUGCCGUAAAACAGAAAGCAAGAGGGAGGGGUAUGAGAGAGAGGUCCCCUUCACUUGCAUGCUUUAAAGGUCCAAUGCAGACAUUUGUAUCUAAAUAUCAAAUAAAUCAUUUCUGGGUAAUAA